ensembl:ncRNA lncRNA:CR46259 long non-coding RNA:CR46259
CCCCAUACACUUGAAGCUUUUAUGACUCAGACCUUCUCAGUCACCAAGAUAUCGGAAAAAACAAAACGAACCCAAGGAUGGGACAUGAUAUCACCUAUGGCCAUGCGGGCCCAUCAAGUCCGGCGUCUGGCGGCCACAUUUGGGAUAACAGUAUUCGAGAUACGCGCCCUGCUCGAAAACCUUUUGCAGCCGCACAUUAUGACCAGGGAUCGGAAACGGAGUGUGCAUAUAGCAAGGUAUGAAAUGGUGUGGACGGCAUGGACUGGGAUGGGAUGGGAUGGGAUGGAAUGGCCUGGAACGUGGAGUGCUGUUAUCGCUGCACUCAGUCAGUCAGUCGGGGCUAAUCUGCACGGAGUUAUCGGCCAUGGAGCCAGCUCUCUCUCUCUCGCUCUCUCUCUCCAAAUUCCCUGCCAGUCUUUCUCCUGCGCGGGAUUUAGCGACGCCAAGUGAAUCAUGCUGGGACUCGGGUUGGGAUAAGCCCGGUGUCGCUGCACUUAUAAAAUAAUUAUAAGAAGGCAUUGGAUGGGUUCGUUUGGGGCAACAUGCCGCUACUUCACCCACCUGUCCCACCGGCUAGAGCCACAGCCACAGAGCGAAGGCCAAGAAUGCGGGCCCGACUUUGUGCUCGGUGGUUUUUGUGUGGUCGAUUCCAGUUGGGGAGUAAUCGGACCAAAUGCCUUUUGAUUUUGACGUGCCAAACAAAAGUCGCGGCCUUAUCGCUGACCUCGAUCUCUACGCAAUGAGUCGAGGAAAGGGAUCUACACAGUGAGAAAGGGAAAAGGAGACUAGAACAUUAAAUGAAUAAAGAAGACGAAAGCAGUUGAGCUUCAAUUGAAAAUAGAAUAUAUAUACAAUUAAACUAAAUUAACAAAGCUCUAUUUUGUUCGUCUACAAGGGAGUGGUGAACUUGACAGCCAAAAAAAAAAAGGAAUGUAGAGCGAAAGAGCUGAGCAAAACCAAAACCAAAGUCAAAUCAAGACCAAAUCAAAUUCCAGGGCAAUGUUCCACGUAAAUCAUAAAUUGGUCUAUCUCGCGAAAAGAUCUACAAACGGAUGCUCCAAAGCGGAGCAAACAUAAUUAAGAAAACCGAAACUGAAACCGAAAUCGAAAUCGAAACUCAAACCAAGAGAUAGAGUGGGACAGUUGGAAGCGGCAAGAGUUGGGGGGACAGGCGAGAUGGAUGGCCCAAAUGGCAGAUCCAAUCGUAGCUGACGGGAAUUCGGAUCCGGAGACAGAGCAAAUGUUACGGCAGUAGCUGCUUGUCGAGAUUCAGCGCAGAUACUCCCGAUAAGGGCGGACGGCGAAUGGAAUGGAAGGGGGAUGGUGGUUUUCCCUGCUGCAAGAAUAUUUCAUCUUAAUAAGAU